AAUAAUAGAUUUGAAAUAUUUAUAAAAAAGAUUUAAAGGGAUAAUCAUAGAAUACAAAAGCUAUUAAUAGUAAAGGUUACUAAUAAAAAAUAAUAAUUANAUUAAUUUUUAUUUUUUUAAAACCUAAGGGAAACCUAAAAAAAAGACUAAGUGAACUGAAACAUCUAAGUAACUUAAGGAAAAAAAAUCAACCGAGAUAUCAUAAGUAUUGGUGAGAGAAAAUGAUAAAUAGUCAUAUUNAUAAAAAUUAAUAAUAAAAAAGUAUUAUGUAAGAAAAUAUGUAAGAAAAUAGGACAAACUAGUUCUAAGACUAAAUAGUAUUAAUAAGCAAAAUAAGUACCGCAAGGGAAAGUAUGAAAAUGGUUAUUCUAUAAGCAGUUAUAGAUAAAAAAUCAAUAACGUACCUUUUGUAUAAUGGGUCAGCAAGUAAUUAAUAUUAGCAAAAUAAAAAAAUUAAAAAAAAAUUGAAUAAAAAAAAAAUUGUGUAAAAAGUUAAUAUUAAUUGACCCGAAAGCAAAUGAUCUUAUUAUGACAAGACGGAAAAAAUUAAUAAAUAAAAAAGUUAAUAAAACGGUCGAACAGGUUGAUGUUGCAAAAUCAUCUGAUUAGUUGUGAUAAGUGGUGAAAGACAAAUCUGAUUUGCAGAUAGCUGGUUUUCUAUGAAAUAUAUGUAAGUAUAGCCUUUAUAAAUAUAAUUAUUAAUAAAAAUAAUAUAAAUUUAUUAAAGAACGGUACAGCUACAAAUAUCAAUAAUUAAAAAAAAGUUAUUAUUUGGGGAACUAUUGCAGUUUUAUCAAAGAUAUUAGAUCUCGAAAUGUUUAAUUAUAUAGAUAAAGAGUCAGACUAUGCGCGAUAAGGUGAAUAGUCUAAAGGGAAACAGCCCAGAUUAAGAUAUAAGGUUCCUAAUUAGAUAAUAAGUGAAAAAAAUAUUAAAAUAUUAUAAUACAAUCAGUUGAUGGGUUUGACAAUAACCAUUCUUUAAUGAACAUGUAACAAUGCACUGAUUUAUAAAUAUAUAUAAUAUUUCAAAUUAUAAUAAUAAUAUUUAAUUAUUAUUAUUAUAUUAAUAAAUAAUAUACGGAUCUUAAAAAAAAAUAUAAUUAUCUAACCGAAUAUCUAAAUAUUAUUAUAUAAAAUAAAUAUAAUAAUAUGGUAAUAGAACAUCUAAUGAAAAAUAUUAUUAAUUAAGUUAAUUAAUAAUAAAAAUAAAAUAAAAAAAGGUAAUUAGAUAGAGAAUGCUGACAUGAGUAACGAAAAAAAGGUAAAAACCUUUUCACCUAAAGCAUAAGGUUUAACUAUAAAAGUACGGCCCUUAAGUUAAAUAANGAAUAAAAAUAUAUUAACGAUAGGAUAAAUCUAAAUAAAAAAAAGGUCAACUUAAUUAUUAAUAAUANAAAAAAAAAUAAUAAACUAAUAAAGUUCAAGAAAUAAAUUUUAUGAAUACCGUAAUGUAGACCGACUCAGGUAUGCAAGUAGAGAAUAUGAAGGUGAAUUAGAGAAUUAAAGGGAAGGAACUCGGCAAAAAAAGCUCUAACGUUAGUCAAUAAAGAGAAAUAAAAACAAAGUUGUCCAACUGUUUACUAAAAACACCGCACUUUGCAGAAACGAUAAGUUUAAGUAUAAGGUGUGAACUCUGCUCCAUGCUUAAUAUAUAAAUUAAUAAAUUAAAAAGAUGAAUUAAUUAAAGUUAGGUAAAUAGCAGCCUUAUUUUGAGGGUUCUAAGGUAGCGAAAUUCAUUGUCCACUAAUUAUGGUCCUGCAUGAAUGACGUAAUGAUACAACAACUGUCUCCCCUUUAAGCUAAGUGAAAUUGAAAUCGCAGUGAAGAUGCUGUGUACCUAUAGUGUGACGGAAAGACCCUAUGCAGCUUUACUGUAGUUAGAUAGAUCGAAUUAUUAUAUAUCAUAUUCAGAAUAUUAAGUAAUUGUUUAAAUAUUAAUGAGAUACUUAUUAUGAUAUUAUAUAUAAAUUAUAUAUUUAUAUUAUAAUAAUUCUAAUCCUAUAUAAUAUAUUUAAUAGAUAAUUCUUAAAUAUAAUAAUAUAAUUAAUUUUUAUAUUAAUUUAUAUUAUUAUUAGGAGACAAUCUCUAAUUGGUAGUUUUGAUGGGGCGUCAUUUUCAGCAAAAAUAUCUGAAUAAGUCCAUAUACAUAUUAUAAUAUUAUUAAUAAUAAAAAAAAAUAUAAAUUAUAUAUAUUAAUUGUAAAUAGGGAUAUAUUUAUAUUUAUAUAAAUAUAUCUUAGUAAUAGAAUAAAAUAUGUACAGUAAAAUUGUCUGGAAAACAAUAAUAAUAAUAUAAAAAAUUUUAUAUUAUAUAAUAAAAUGUAUUAAAUUAAUAUAAUGGUAUAACUGUGCAACAAUUGUAACACAAACAAGUGAAACAAGUACGUAAGUAUGGCAUAAUGAACAAAUAACACUGAUUGUAAAGGUUAUUGAUAACGAAUAAAAGUUACGCUAGGGAUAAACUAUCCUAUUGUCCCAUUAUAUUGUGAAAUAUAAUUAUCCUUUUCUUCCUUUAUUUAAUUUUUAUUUUAUAGGAAGAAAAUGGAGUAAAUUGGGUGAAUUGCAAGAAUAUCCUAAUAUUAUUAUAUAAAUAAAAUAAAUAAUAUUGGACAAUUUGCAGCGAAGUUUAUAACAACCUUCAUUAUUAUUAAUUAAUUAAUUAAUUUCUAUAAAUAAAAAAUAAAUAAAAAUGGUUAUAAAAACGUUCAACGACUAGAUAAUGAGUUAGGUUAACAAUAAUUUAUCCACGAGUGCCCAAUAUCAAAUAAUUAAUAAUUAUUUGAUAAUGACAUAGUCUAAACAAUUUGGUAACAAAUUGAUAAAUACUAAAAUUUAUAUAUAUAUAAUAAAAAAUAUUAAUAUAAAUUUUAUAAAAAUAAAAAUAUUUAUAAAAUAAUAAAUUGAACAGGGUAAUAUAGCGAAAGAGUAGAUAUUGUAAGCUAUGUUUGCCACCUCGAUGUCGACUCUACCUAUCCUCUUGGUUGUAAGUGCUAAGAAGGGUUUGACUGUUCGUCAAUUAAAAGGUAACGUGAGUUGGGUUAAAUACGAUGUAAAUCAGUAUGGUUCCUAUCUACUAUAGGUAAUAUUAUCAACUUAAGACUCAUUCUUAGUACGCAAGGAUCAGAAUGAAUUAACCUAUGGUGUAUCUAUUGAUUAUUAUAUAAUAUAUAUAUAUAUAUUUUUUUAUAUAUAUAUUAUCUAUAUUAGUUUAUAUUUUAAUAAUAGUCAUAGUAGAUAAGCUAAGUUAAUAAAAAAUAAAUAUUGAAUGCAUAUAAAAUAUGAAGUUGCCUUAAGAUGAGAUAAUUAUCUGAUUAUUUUAUACUAAAAU
rnacentral:rRNA from 1 species